rnacentral:lncRNA from 1 species
AUGAGUGGGUUAGAGCGAGCUUUAGUGCACAGCACAGUCGCCUGUGAGGACAGAGCCUGGCCCCUUCCUGCAGGAGGCCUGGGUGACGCAGCACAGACACUGGCCCAGGUUAGCAGCAGGGAGGGCAGGACGCGGGCUGACCCCUGCCCAGCAGGUGCAUCUGGAGGAGGUCCCGCGGGGAUGGUGGGGUCCGCUGCAGGGACCGGGAGCUCACCAGUGACAUCAGCUCUCCCUGGGUGGCCACAAGCUGUGGGGAUCCCACCCCUCGGCAGUGAGGCCGGGACUGGCCUCGGCAAAACGAUGAGGACAACGCGUCCGGACCCCCAUUCCAAACCCACGCCCCUCCUCCAGGACGCACCUGCGCCACAGCCGCGUUUACAAGUAGCCUGGUGUGUGUGCGCGUGUGUAUAUGUGUGUGGGGGGGUGACAGGUCCUGGGCUUUCUCGGAGGCCCUGGCUCUGGCCCUUGGUUUCCUCCUCUGUGAAAUGGGUUUCUUCUCCCCGACUGGUGAACAGAGAGACUGAGUCUGAACCUCUCUGGAGGAGAGCGCGGGUCUGUCGCAGAACCAGGUGGACCCACGGCUGGGCGGGGGCCGCCCCUCCUCACCGUCAGGGAACAGAAGCCACCUCUUCCCACGGCCAGGGAGCCCCCGGCCCUUGUCCUGGUCGACCACAGCUAGGAGCACCUGGCUCUCAGGCUGGGCUGGGAAGAGCCGAGUUUCCACAUUGCGGGGGGCGGGGAGGGGGACUGCAUCCUGGUGACCUCUGGAGGGCUGCAGAAGAGACCCCUCCCCACCCAGCCAGCACCUCGAGUCUGCCCCAGUGGGUCUGCUGCCGGAUCCAGCUGUCUCCCCACGGCUGGGGCUGGACAGCACCUCCUGAGCAGAGACAGCAGCUGCCGCCAGGCCCCCCUGGUGCCGGGAAAGCUGCCUUCAUGGACACGGAGGCCCAGAGGAGGAGCCCUGUCCUCGCUGUGGACCCAGAGCUGGUGGACCCAGCGGUGGCUCCCCGCUGGCUUCUCCCCACCCACUCAGGGACCCUUGCCCCAGAAAUCACAACAGGCACCUGCAGCCCGUUCUGUCCAUCAGGGCCCCCUGGCUUGUGA